rnacentral:rRNA from 1 species
ACUCCUGCGGGAGGCAGCAGUGGGGAAUAUUGCACAAUGGGCGCAAGCCUGAUGCAGCCAUGCCGCGUGUAUGAAGAAGGCCUUCGGGUUGUAAAGUACUUUCAGCGGGGAGGAAGGCGAUAAGGUUAAUAACCUUGUUGAUUGACGUUACCCGCAGAAGAAGCACCGGCUAACUCCGUGCCAGCAGCCGCGGUAAUACGGAGGGUGCAAGCGUUAAUCGGAAUUACUGGGCGUAAAGCGCACGCAGGCGGUCUGUCAAGUCGGAUGUGAAAUCCCCGGGCUCAACCUGGGAACUGCAUUCGAAACUGGCAGGCUAGAGUCUUGUAGAGGGGGGUAGAAUUCCAGGUGUAGCGGUGAAAUGCGUAGAGAUCGGGAGGAAUACCGGUGGCGAAGGCGGCCCCCUGGACAAAGACUGACGCUCAGGUGCGAAAGCGUGGGGAGCAAACAGGAUUAGAAACCCCUGUAGUCCCAUGA